GGCUGUUGGCCAAUUUCCUGUCCAAAGGGUGUUUAUUCAUCAUCAGCGAGGAGGAUGGGAAUGCUCCGUGAGAAUCCAGUUACACAGCUUCCCCGGAGCGAUGAAUUGUCCCCACCCAGAACUACUUACGAAGAAGGAAGAAGGAACAUCAGAUGCGGAGUUUUCACAGACGGUCCUCAAUCAACCGCACUAAAAGUCGGAGGGAAAUACGGAUAUACCCGGGAUAAGCACCGGGAAAAAGCGGUAACGCAGCGUCACCACGCCGUUGAAAAACCGCUACGUGGGCAUCGGCCCUAAGGCGGAGGAACUGGCACGCUGUAUCAUCCAGUCAUGCAGUAAAUCAAGAAAUGGAAAUAAAAUUUUACAGGAUGGAACCCGCGCCGCCGAUUUUUAAAUAGGAGGACGGAAAGGACAAUUAGUGGAAAUAAAAUGGAUGUUAAGUCUUCCUCGCUGACAUCGUAUUCAACAUCCUUAUUGAUAUGAUUACUAGACCAACAACAGCCAAAAUUUAUUCUUUUAUUCUUUCAGUUAUUUGUCUAUGUAUAGCUAUAGCUAUUUAUGUAGGUAGACGAGAAAUAGGAAAAAAAAUGUUUGGCUGUAAUAUCGCGAAUUAUGAGACGAGACUACCUCGAACAGGACGAUUUAGUUGAUGAAGAAGGUACCGCAAAACUUUCAUCAGUAUUGCUUAAUUGAAAUACUAGAUUGAAGAUUGAACAGAAAAUGUUUGCUCAGGUUAUAUGUACUAAUGACUGUCAGAAAAGGUUUUUCUAAAUUAUGGAUAUCAACUUUGUAUAUGUAAUUUCAAAAUCAUUGAUAAUGUAUUCCUUGGAGAAAGGUGACCAAAGCAUUGGACAAAAACAAGUCCAUAGGAAGUUAGAAUGAUAAAAAUGUUUUAGUAUUUUUAUAAGCUACAUUUACUAUUUUAAAAUGCAUUUUUUAUAUUCUAUGCUUUGAGUCGUUCUUAAUAGUUGUAUUUCAUAUAGUUUUCACUUAUACUAUAAAGACAGAUAUGUUACUCGUAACACGAUUCAAGGCUAGCUAUCAUGACGACAAUAAUUAAUGCUUGGACGAUCGCAACUACUCUGUCUCUGGUUUCAAAUAUGUCAAUGAGUUAGGCACAUAUGUUAAGCAGACACGCAUUGCAUUUUACUUGACUAUAUGUUAAAAUGGGCACAUGUAUACAAUUUCAGUCCUAGUGGAAGAAAAUAGUAAUUUAUUCUAUGCUCAAUUCACUUGCCUUGUUUUAAGACUCAAGUUAAAACUAUGCCUAAUAUAAUUAAUGCUUGGAGUGUAGGUUACGUUCGCAAGAACUAUUCUAUUUGUAGGACACUCGCUAAUAUGGGUUGACAAAAUCUGCCAUGCAAUAUAUUAUAUUUUGUAUUUGUAAGUUAAAAAGCAGGCCAAGUUACAGUUGGAAUGUAUAGACAUAGAAAAUGAAAAAAUAGUGAUUUAGAAAGAUGACGGAUUAUAAAAUAAUAUAAAAAUAAAAUAAAAUUUUCAUUCUGUCAAAAAUAAUAAAAUGUAUUUAGUAUAUUUUUUUGUAUUUACAAGAAAAAAUAACAUAACUAUAAUAACUGAAAUAAAAUCUCGAUUAAGAAUUUCAUUAGGUAUACUUAUUGAAUUCCAUAAGGUUGUCUUACAAAAUUCAUAAGGUAAUUUUAUGAGAAACAUAAACAUCCACUAUGCGCCUGGUUCAUCCAAAGUUCAUUCAGCAUCAUAAGGUAACCUUAUGAUUUUCAAAGUGUUUCCUUGUGGCUAAUUUUCAUAAGGCAAGUUAAUGAUAUCCGGAAGGU